rnacentral:rRNA from 1 species
AUUGAACGCUGGCGGCAGGCCUAACACAUGCAAGUCGAGCGGAGCGGCGGACGGGGGAGUAAUGCCUAGGAAUCUGCCUGGUCGUGGGGGAUAGCGUCCGGUAACGGGCGCUAAUACCACAUCUUAUUCGCGCGGCCUAUAACUGAUUAGCUAGUUGGUGGGGUAAAGGCCUACCAAGGCGACGAUCAGUAGCGGGUCUGAGAGGACGAUCCGCCACACUGGGACUGAGACACGGCCCAGACUCCUACGGGAGGCAGCAGUGGGGAAUUUUGGACAAUGGGGGCAACCCUGAUGCAGCAAUGCCGCGUGUAUGAAGAAGGCCUUCGGGUUGUAAAGUACUUUCAGCGGGGAGGCGUUACCCGCAGAAGAAGCACCGGCUAACUCCGUGCCAGCAGCCGCGGUAAUUC